rfam:TPA: Bos taurus chromosome 10, whole genome shotgun sequence.
UUCCUGGUAGCUCAGUUGGUAAAGAAUCUGCCUAUAGUGCAGGAGACCCAGUUUCGAUCUCUGGGUCAGGAAG